rnacentral:lncRNA from 1 species
AUGGCCACAGGCUCAGAGCACAGAACAGUGCGGAGGGCUGUUUUCUGUAGUGUCACCAUCGUUGUCAACUGGUCUGUAAGAAGAAAAGCAGUACAGAACAGGCCUCAAGCCCCAACCGAGUCAGGUCAAAGCAGCUGGAAGCCUGUGUCAGCCUCUAGUCCACAAACCAUAGCAGCUCACUGGAGACGGGGCAUCAGAGAGACACCCUACUUCUUUUCCCUUCCUGGAAGCAAGAAUAUUUCAGCUAAACGGAUGGAUCAUUCAAGACUCAAAAGCACCCACAGGAUAAGCAGAUGUGCUCUUACAGAAAUGCACUCUCUGAGGUGAGGGAGGGGCCCUGUCUUGGGUCUCGCUAGGGCUGACUCCAGGAACACAAACUGGAGGGGUGGCCAUCACCCCACUGACCCUGAGGAAGCCCAUGACUGAUCCCAGGCCCACCUGGUGGGUAUCUCAGCUCCACCUUCCCUGCAGCCCUCACUGUUCUGUGGGGCCUGGAAAAACUGCAGGAGCCUCUGGUGAGAGGAAGAGGCUGGACCUCACGUGGCCCAUCCUCCUCGACAGCUCCAGAGUCAACCCAAGCCAGGUAGCAUUGUGCUCAAGGACAGAGUGGGGCCCCAAGGCCCUGUUCUGAGUCCCAGGAGCACCUCAGCACCAAAUUCGACCAAUCCAGCUUCUAGGCAGACAGGGGAGGAGGGCACUGAGGAAACUGAGUCAGAGGCAAGACCUGCAGACAAGAGGAGGCAGGAACAUUAACUCCCAACUAUAACACACAGAAAUUUAGAAACACAGCUGGGGUGAAACUCCAUCCUGAUGUCUCUAAGCCAGCUUAAAAACACAACCCACGGCCCCCAGGAUGGAGCAUAAAAAUGUGUCAGUACUCAUACUGUUCCCAGGGAACCUGGAACCUAUGUGGGGCCUAUGGCAAGAUAGGUUUGGUGUCUUAGGUAUGUGUGUAUGUGUGGAGGGCUGGGAGAAGGGCUCAAGAGAGGCUGCAGGCCCACCUCUCUACCCUUUACCUGGCGUCAUAGAGGGCAAGACAGGGGACACAGAGGGGUCACAGGCCAUGGCUCCCAGCAACUGAGCAUCUCAGGCCACUGGGGCUGCAGAAUCAGAGUACCCCAGACUGGGUGGCUUCUUAACAACAUAAAUGUGCCUCUCACAGCACCGGAGGGUGGACAUCCAAGAUCAAGGCACGGGUAGAUUCCAUGUCUGUCAGGGCCAGAACCAGGAAUAGAUGGCACCUUGUCCCUGAGUCUUUCACCCAGGAAAAAGGGAUGAGAAUGUGUUCUCAGGCCUCUUUUAUAAGGGAAAUAAUCCCUGUCAUUCAGUCUCCAUGCUCAGGAC